rnacentral:rRNA from 1 species
UACGUAGGGUGCGAGCGUUAAUCGGAAUUACUGGGCGUAAAGCGUGCGCAGGCGGUUCGUCAAGUCUGAUGUGAAAGCCCCGGGCUCAACCUGGGAAUGGCAUUGGAAACUAGCGAGCUUGAGUGUGGCAGAGGGGGGUGGAAUUCCACGUGUAGCAGUGAAAUGCGUAGAGAUGUGGAGGAACACCGAUGGCGAAGGCAGCCCCCUGGGUCGACACUGACGCUCAUGCACGAAAGCGUGGGGAGCAAACAGG